GAAGGCCAGAAAUGCAGCAUUUCCUGACACAUCCUGCAACACAGAAGGACCUCUCAUCAGGGUGAUGCAGGCAUAGAGGUGAAAGGGGUCUUUCAUGAUUCUGAAGAAUUCACACUUGGCCACAACCAUGGUGUCCUUCAACCCAGGGGCAGUAGCAAAAAGUUGUUUAAAAAUAACCUAAUGGAGAUACUGUGAAGCCAUGGGGCUGAUUUUCCUCUUGCCUGUCAUCAGUGCUUAGUGAUGGUUAUUAAUACCUGAGUGCCAGCGCCGCCCAAAGGCAUGGUCCCUGGCAGUGGCACCAGUGCUAACCUAGCAGCCUGGCCUCUGGGAGUGGGAAAAUGCCUGGCAGACGUGGGUGAGGGAGGGCAGCCUGCUUUGGAUGGAGGGUGGGCACUGGGAGGCCCUCUGCUCACAGUGCAGGCAGGACCCAAGGAAGUCCAGAAACUGCACGUUCAGAAAGUGACUUGAGGGUGGAAACCUUACCUUAUCUGUACUCACAGAACAGGCCUGCAGGAAAUGUUUAUCUGAUGAAUGUGUAAGACAAUGAGGUGGGCCAGAGGGGACGGGGGAGUAGGAAUGAACAAAAACAAGAGGGGAGGGCAUCUACAGUGUUCUGAGAGGAAGGCCUAGAAAGAAUAGGUAGAGGGAUGGAAAGGAAGGGUCAGUCAGCGGAAGACUGUGGGUGGCUAGAACUUAUGGGUAAAGAGUAGGGAAGAGGAGCAGUGGAGUGGGCAGGGAGGCAGGGAAGGCCUUCUGUCUGCUUCUUGCACCACUGACCUCUGUGGGGAACAGCAGGACAGAAGAGUGCCUGCACUGUGACCACAGUGUCAUGGGCCCCGUGUGGCCCACUCAGGCCCAUGUUCUGACUCUACCACUCACUGUCCGUGUGACCUCAGCUAGGUCCCAUGCUUUCUCUGUGUUUCAGACUCCUUGUUGCAAAAUUAGGGUUGAUGAUACUAUGUACCUCUCAGGUUGUGCUUAGCAGACUCCUGGGACAUGCUAGUGGUUGUGUUAAUAUGAGUCUAUUGAGCUUAAUACCAAAUACUUUUUUUUUUU